rnacentral:lncRNA from 1 species
AGCAUUAUAAAAGCCCUACUCAGCCCUCGUUGUUGCAUUGUGUGGGAUCAAGCCCCGACCUUUUGCCGCUUGUAAUCGUCGAGCAAGGCACCUUACCGGUUGUUCCGACAGGUGAAGAACAUGAACGGCAAACACAUCAUCUUAGCUCUGGCUGUUACGGCUGCGCUUUUGUGCGUGAGCUUCGCCAUUCCGGCUGUCGUAGUGGUGGAGCCCAGUGCAAGAGAAGCGAGUUCCUGAGCUCCCGGUGCGGCGCACAAUUAAGAGAGGACGCUUAUGUCACGUGUGAGACAUCACGAUGGUGCAGCAGCCAUGUGCUAUGCAUGAUGCAUGUAAUAAAGCUUCUGACGCAGUAUGACGUUUGCAUACAUUGUCGUCCACAGUCAAUUGCAGCCUAAGAUUAAAUGUCAGCUUCGCCAACAAAACUGCGGCUCCCCUGUCCUCCACCGCUGCGAGACA